rnacentral:rRNA from 1 species
ACGAACCGUGCAAACGUUGUUCGGAAUCACUGGGCUUAAAGGGCGCGUAGGCGGGCAUUCAAGUCAGGGGUGAAAUCCUCCGGCUCAACCGGAGAACUGCCUUUGAUACUGGGUGUCUCGAGUGAGGUAGGGGUAUGCGGAACUGAUGGUGGAGCGGUGAAAUGUGUUGAUAUCAUCAGGAACUCCGGUGGCGAAAGCGGCGUACUGGACCUUUACUGACGCUGAUGCGCGAAAGCUAGGGGAGCGAACGGUA